GAUGAACGUUGGCGGCGUGCCUAAUACAUGCAAGUCGAGCGAACAGACGAGGAGCUUGCUCCUUUGAUGUUAGCGGCGGACGGGUGAGUAACACGUGGGUAACCUACCUAUAAGACUGGGAUAACUUCGGGAAACCGGAGCUAAUACCGGAUAAUAUUUCGAACCGCAUGGUUCGAUAGUGAAAGAUGGCUUUGCUAUCACUUAUAGAUGGACCUGCGCCGUAUUAGCUAGUUGGUAAGGUAACGGCUUACCAAGGCAACGAUACGUAGCCGACCUGAGAGGGUGAUCGGCCACACUGGAACUGAGACACGGUCCAGACUCCUACGGGAGGCAGCAGUAGGGAAUCUUCCGCAAUGGGCGAAAGCCUGACGGAGCAACGCCGCGUGAGUGAUGAAGGUCUUCGGAUCGUAAAACUCUGUUAUUAGGGAAGAACAAACGUGUAAGUAACUGUGCACGUCUUGACGGUACCUAAUCAGAAAGCCACGGCUAACUACGUGCCAGCAGCCGCGGUAAUACGUAGGUGGCAAGCGUUAUCCGGAAUUAUUGGGCGUAAAGCGCGCGUAGGCGGUUUUUUAAGUCUGAUGUGAAAGCCCACGGCUCAACCGUGGAGGGUCAUUGGAAACUGGAAAACUUGAGUGCAGAAGAGGAAAGUGGAAUUCCAUGUGUAGCGGUGAAAUGCGCAGAGAUAUGGAGGAACACCAGUGGCGAAGGCGACUUUCUGGUCUGUAACUGACGCUGAUGUGCGAAAGCGUGGGGAUCAAACAGGAUUAGAUACCCUGGUAGUCCACGCCGUAAACGAUGAGUGCUAAGUGUUAGGGGGUUUCCGCCCCUUAGUGCUGCAGCUAACGCAUUAAGCACUCCGCCUGGGGAGUACGACCGCAAGGUUGAAACUCAAAGGAAUUGACGGGGACCCGCACAAGCGGUGGAGCAUGUGGUUUGAUUCGAAGCAACGCGAAGAACCUUACCAAAUCUUGACAUCCUUUGACCCUUCUAGAGAUAGAAGUUUCCCCUUCGGGGGACAAAGUGACAGGUGGUGCAUGGUUGUCGUCAGCUCGUGUCGUGAGAUGUUGGGUUAAGUCCCGCAACGAGCGCAACCCUUAAGCUUAGUUGCCAUCAUUAAGUUGGGCACUCUAAGUUGACUGCCGGUGACAAACCGGAGGAAGGUGGGGAUGACGUCAAAUCAUCAUGCCCCUUAUGAUUUGGGCUACACACGUGCUACAAUGGACAAUACAAAGGGCAGCGAAACCGCGAGGUCAAGCAAAUCCCAUAAAGUUGUUCUCAGUUCGGAUUGUAGUCUGCAACUCGACUACAUGAAGCUGGAAUCGCUAGUAAUCGUAGAUCAGCAUGCUACGGUGAAUACGUUCCCGGGUCU
rnacentral:rRNA from 1 species